rnacentral:rRNA from 1 species
GAUCAUGGCUCAGGAUGAACGCUAGCGACAGGCUUAACACAUGCAAGUCGAGGGGCAGCAUAAUUUGUAGCAAUACAGAUUGAUGGCGACCGGCGCACGGGUGAGUAACGCGUAUGCAACUUACCUAUCAGAGGGGGAUAGCCCGGCGAAAGUCGGAUUAAUACCCCAUAAAACAGGGGUCCCGCAUGGGAAUAUUUGUUAAAGAUUUAUCAGUAAAGGAUGGGGAUGCGUCCCAUUAG